rnacentral:tRNA from 1 species
CGGGGCAUGGUGAAAUGGUUCUCACGCGUGCUUUGGGAGCAUGAAUUCCAGGUUCAAUUCCUGGUGCCCCGACCA